rnacentral:rRNA from 1 species
GCCUACGGGAGGCAGCAGUGGGGGAUAUUGGACAAUGGGGGGAACCCUGAUCCAGCGACGCCACGUGAGUGAAGAAGUAUUUCGGUAUGUAAAGCUCUGUCAGCAGGGAAGAAAGCAAUGACGGUACCUGACCAAGAAGCCCCGGCUAACUACGUGCCAGCAGCCGCGGUAAUACGUAGGGGGCAAGCGUUAUCCGGAAUUACUGGGUGUAAAGGGAGCGUAGACGGCGACGCAAGUCUGGAGUGAAAGCCCGGGGCCCAACCCCGGGACUGCUCUGGAAACUGCGUCGCUGGAGUACGGGAGGG